AAAGGUUUGGUCCCAGCCUUCCUGUCAUCUUUAGCUAGACUUACACAUGCAAGUAUCCGCACCCCCGUGAGAAUGCCCUCUAGUCCCCCUACGCGGGGACAAGGAGCCGGUAUCAGGCACACUAAUUUGUUGCCCACGACACCUUGCUCAGCCACACCCUCAAGGGUCUUCAGCAGUGAUAAACAUUAGGCCAUAAGUGAAAACUUGACUUAGUUACAGCUAACAGGGCCGGUAAACCUCGUGCCAGCAACCGCGGUUAGACGAGAGGCCCAAGUUGACAAUCAUCGGCGUAAAGGGUGGUUAAGUUAGUCUUCACUAAACUAAAGCCGAACGCCCCCAAGACCGUUAUACGUAUUCGGAGGUAUGAAGCCCAACUACGAAAGUGGCUUUAAAAUACCUGACCCCACGAAAGCUGUGGAACAAACUGGGAUUAGAUACCCCACUAUGCUCAGCCCUAAACUUUGAUAGCUAAUCUACACCCGCUAUCCGCCCGGGAACUACAAGCACAAGCUUAAAACCCAAAGGACUUGGCGGUGCUUAAGAUCCACCUAGAGGAGCCUGUUCUAGAACCGAUACUCCCCGUUCAACCUCACCCUCUCUUGUUCAUACCGCCUAUAUACCGCCGUCGUCAGCUCACCCUGUAAAGGACUAGUAGUAAGCAAAAUUGGCAUGGCCCAAAACGCCAGGUCGAGGUGUAGCGUAUGAGAGGGGAAGAAAUGGGCUACAUUUCCUAAUCAGGAAAUACGGACAAUAAAAUGAAAUACCAAUUAGAAGGAGGAUUUAGUAGUAAAUGAAAAACAGAGAGUCUCAUUGAAAUCGGCCCUAAAGCGCGCACACACCGCCCGUCACCCUCCCCGAAAAACCCUGUCUUAUAACUAAUUAGUCGAAUAAACACAAGGGGAGGCAAGUCGUAACAUGGUAAGUGUACCGGAAGGUGCACUUGGA
rnacentral:ncRNA from 1 species